AGACCAGGUUUGAAUCUUUCUGACUACUCUGUAUAAAUUACAUUGGAACUAGCUGCUAAUUUUAACCUGUGUAUCAGUGCAGGCAUGCUUAAUUCAUAGAAGUGAUUUUUAAGUUGGGUUGGAGUAUCUUGUAACUGGCAUAUUUUUUAAAUGUAGGGUCUUGUUUUUAGUCUCAGAUUAUGUUAACUAAACUCAAAUACUGCUCUUUACUAAUUGAGUAGCUGAGAGAAUGGUUAUUUUGAAUAAGUGCAUCUUUUAACAAAAUUGUUAAAGGAUUUCUACUUUUGGCAGAAUCUGAAAACUGAUUUAUCUAGAAUGAAAGACAGUGGAACAGGAAUUGAAUGUUGACAGCCUGUGUUGGGGUGGGGUAGGUGUGGUUUGAAAAUGAUACAUGCUAAUGACUUGCAAAUCUGGAACAAAUGAAGUGUUUGUUGGUUUAAAAUACCUAAUAAAGCUUAUCUGUAAAACACUUUAUCUUUGUGCUUUACUUUUGCAUGGUGUUAAAGGCUAAAAAGUGAUUGUAGUAAAACCCUUCCUGCCCUUUUUGAAACUGAUCGUUAUUAUCUCAAAUUGUAACUUACAGGUUGCUGGCCUAGAAAUAUAUCCCGGGAGUAAGUGUUCCCGGAGUGACAAUGGACCCACCGUUACAAGGAAGGAUUCCUCAUUAAGCUGAACAUUGGCCGAGACACUGCUAUUUAAGGGUUGGAAUGAUUUCACCUAAGAAAUUAUGCUUUAUACAUUCCCGUGCUGAGUCCUAUUGUUUUCUGAUUUUGAAAGGCCUAAAUAUUAUAUAAAUUAUAAUAACAUCAAUAGUUAAUGAUUGAAAGUCUUUGGAAGAAUGCUUUGUUGCCCGUAGAUCUGCAGAAAUGAUAGAGGAAUGCUGUGUCACACUGUGCUACAAUGAAUCAGCAUAGCUUUUCUGCUCUAUUUUUAGAAUAGUGUGAAAAAAGCCAAGAUUUUUUAAGAAGACAGUUCCUUGAAACAUUUGUUUUCAGUGUCACAGGUCUUCUUAGAAAAUAAAGCACUUAACAUUCAGAGAAGUGGAAAGGCAGAUGUAGCUGAAAGAGUAGAUCCGAGGAGCAGAUUCCAUGUGCACCUGCCAAAACAGAGCUUUAUACAAGACCUGACCUUUCUGAGCAAGUUGAAGGCAAUUGUAAAGGAACUGUUUUCUGCCUUUACACAAAACAGCCAGAUGAAGAAGGAAAGGUAAAGUAAACUGGGGAUCAUGCAAGCUGAUGACAGCCUAAUGUCACAAGUGAUCUUUGUUAGAAUUAUGGGGAUCCAUUUCAAGUAGAAUGAGAAAGAGUUUUGGCACAUUUCUUUUCUGAUGACUAUGAUAUUAGAUAGCAAAAUACUGUAUUUUGCACAUGUUGCUCCAAAAAUCGCUGUUGCCCCAAAAAUCACUGAUGUAGUUUGCUUUUCAUCUGUAUUUUAUAUUUGAUUAUUCUACUGGGCUUGAGUGAAGUGUAGAUUUAUUUCUGUUAAACACUCCUUUAUAAGAAAGAUUGUAAAAACAUAUAACAGAAAAUAUUUGGAGUUUUUUUUUUUUUUGAGACGGAGUUUCGCUCUUGUUACACAGGCUGGAGUGCAAUGGCGCGAUCUCAGCUCACUGCAACCUCCGCCUCCUAGGUUCAGGCAAUUUUCCUGCCUCAGCCUCCUUAGUAGCUGGG
rnacentral:lncRNA from 13 species